rnacentral:rRNA from 1 species
ACAAUGGGCGAGAGCCUGAUCCAGCCAUGCCGCGUGCAGGAAGACUGCCCUAUGGGUUGUAAACUGCUUUUAUACAGGAAGAAUAAGCCUUACGUGUAAGGUGAUGACGGUACUGUAAGAAUAAGGACCGGCUAACUCCGUGCCAGCAGCCGCGGUAAUACGGAGGGUCCGAGCGUUAUCCGGAAUUAUUGGGUUUAAAGGGUCCGUAAGCGGAUGAUUAAGUCAGGGGUGAAAGGUUGCAGCUUAACUGUUAAAAUGCCCUUGAUACUGGGCAUCUUGAGUUGUAUUGAAGUAGGCCGAAUAUGUAGUGUAACGGUGAAAUGCAUUGAUAUUACAUAGAACACCCAUUGCGAAGGCCGCUUACUUAGUACUAACUGACGCUUAUGGACGAAGCGUGGGUACCAACAGGAUUAGAUACCCUGGUAGUCCACGCCCUAAACGAUGGUUACUAAGUGGUGGAAUACUUAGGUUUAACCUAUUAACUCAAUGGGAUAAGUAUCCCACCAUGGGAGUACGGUCGCAAGACUGAAACUCAAAGGAAUUGACGGGGGCCCGCACAAGCGGU